UACGUAGGGGGCUAGCGUUGUCCGGAAUCAUUGGGCGUAAAGAGCGUGUAGGCGGCUUGGUAAGUCCGCUGUGAAAGUCCAGGGCUCAACCCUGGAAUGCCAGUGGAUACUGUCAAGCUAGAGUCCGGAAGAGGCGAGUGGAAUUCCUGGUGUAGCGGUGAAAUGCGCAGAUAUCAGGAGGAACACCAAUGGCGAAGGCAGCUCGCUGGGACGGUACUGACGCUGGAGACGCGAAAGCGUGGGGAGCAAACAGG
rnacentral:rRNA from 1 species